rnacentral:rRNA from 1 species
UACGGAGGGAGCUAGCGUUGUUCGGAAUUACUGGGCGUAAAGCGCACGUAGGCGGCUUUGUAAGUUAGAGGUGAAAGCCCGGAGCUCAACUCCGGAAUUGCCUUUAAGACUGCAUCGCUUGAAUCAUGGAGAGGUGAGUGGAAUUCCGAGUGUAGAGGUGAAAAUUCGUAGAUAUUCGGAAGAACACCAGUGGCGAAGGCGACUCACUGGACAUGUAUUGACGCUGAGGUGCGAAAGCGUGGGGAGCAAACAGGG